UUGGGGAGCAAACAGGAUUAGAUACCCUGGUAGUCCACGCCGUAAACGAUGUCGAUUUGGAGGUUGUGCCCUUGAGGCGUGGCUUCCGGAGCUAACGCGUUAAAUCGACCGCCUGGGGAGUACGGCCGCAAGGUUAAAACUCAAAUGAAUUGACGGGGGCCCGCACAAGCGGUGGAGCAUGUGGUUUAAUUCGAUGCAACGCGAAGAACCUUACCUGGUCUUGACAUCCACAGAACUUUCCAGAGAUGGAUUGGUGCCUUCGGGAACUGUGAGACAGGUGCUGCAUGGCUGUCGUCAGCUCGUGUUGUGAAAUGUUGGGUUAAGUCCCGCAACGAGCGCAACCCUUAUCCUUUGUUGCCAGCGGUCCGGCCGGGAACUCAAAGGAGACUGCCAGUGAUAAACUGGAGGAAGGUGGGGAUGACGUCAAGUCAUCAUGGCCCUUACGACCAGGGCUACACACGUGCUACAAUGGCGCAUACAAAGAGAAGCGACCUCGCGAGAGCAAGCGGACCUCAUAAAGUGCGUCGUAGUCCGGAUUGGAGUCUGCAACUCGACUCCAUGAAGUCGGAAUCGCUAGUAAUCGUAGAUCAGAAUGCUACGGUGAAUACGUUCCCGGGCCUUGUACACACCGCCCGUCACACCAUGGGAGUGGGUUGCAAAAGAAGUAGGUAGCUUAACCUUCGGGAGGGCGCUUACCACUUUGUGAUUCAUGACUGGGGUGAAGUCGUACAAAGGGGAACCCA
rnacentral:rRNA from 1 species